CUUUCUCUCUGUUUACUUGUGUAUUAACUGCUAUUGAUAUUAUUAUUGAUACCCUGGUAUUACACUGUAUAGGUUUAUCUGUUAUUGAUUCUUUACUGUUUUCUAUUUUAUUUAUUAGAGACUUCAUUAUUUGUCUUUUCUCUGCUUGCUUGAUGCUUCACAUCUGUGUGUUUUUUCCUGUGUGCCCAAGGUCCAGACCUCCCCUGUCAUUUACUUCUGUUUAUUACCCC